UCAGUGAAGCUGGAAGACUGCAGUCAAACACUGGAGCUGAAUGUCAUCAUUAAAGAUGAAGAAGAGGAGGAGAAGAUUGGGAAUUCUCUUUGUCAUGGAAACCAUGUUGACACAUUCUCUACAUCCAGAGAGCAACAGCAGGAAGAUCACAGAGCUAAGAGGUCUCACCUACUGCCCACAUUAAAAUAAGAGACUGCAGUUGCAGUGGGCUAAGAAAUGAAAAGACUGGACGCUGGAGAAUUUGAAAAACAUUGCCUGGUCUGAUGAAUCCCUGUUCCUGCUGUUUCAUGCUGAUGGGAGGACUAGGGUAUGGAGGAAACCAUGAGUACAUCCAUCAUGCCUCGUGUCAACACUGCAGGCUGGUGGUGAUGGUGUGGAGUUUGUUUUCAUGCCAUACACUGGGCCCCUUGAUAAAAGUGGAGCAACGUUUGAAUGCCACAGGAUAUCUAAACAUCAUUGCCAAGCAGGUGCAUCCCUUCAUGGCAGCAGUUUAUCCAUCUGCAAAUAGAUUUUGUUCAGCAGGAUUAUGCCACAAGGUUUGUCCAGGAAUGGUUCCAAGAACAUGACAGUGAAUUCAGCUUACUGCAGUGGCCUGCCGAGUCACCAGAUCUCAAUCCAAUUGUUCAUCUGUGGGAAGAGAUGGAAGGAGCUAUUCGGAGUAGAGAUCCACUCCCAGCCAACUUGACACAAUUUUGGGAAGAAUUGGGCCAGAAUCCCUGUGGAAUGCUCUCAACACCUUGGACAGUCUAUGCACUGAAGAAUUAAGGCUAAUUCUGAGGACAAAGGAGGGGUGCAACUCAAUAGGAUGGUGUUCCUAAUGUUUGUGCACUCAGUGUAUAUCAGAUAAAGGUGGUGUGAUGACCAGU